rnacentral:rRNA from 1 species
CCUACGGGUGGCAGCAGUGAGGAAUAUUGGUCAAUGGACGGAAGUCUGAACCAGCCAUGUCGCGUGCAGGAAGACGGCCCUACGAGUUGUAAACUGCUUUUGUACAAGGGUAAACCUGAACACGUGUAUUCAGCUGAAAGUACUGUAAGAAUAAGGAUCGGCUAACUCCGUGCCAGCAACCGCGGUAAUACGGAGGAUCCUAGCGUUAUCCGGAUUUAUGGGGGUUAAAGGGUGCGUAGGCGGAUGGAUAAGGUAGAGGUGAAAUGUCCGGGCUUAACUCGGGAACUGCCUUUGAUACUGUUUGUCUAGAGUGUAGGUGAGGUAGGCGGAAUGUAUGGUGUAGCGGUGAAAUGCUUAGAGAUCAUACAGAACACCGAUUGCGAAGGCAGCUUACCGGUCUAUAUCUGACGUUGAGGCACGAAAGCGUGGGGAGCGAACAGGAUUAGAUACCCUAGUAGUC